AUGGCGCAAGCACCAGAGCUCUGCAUGCCGCGAGCCGUGACCUCCCCGUCCACACCCGCUGCUGCUGCCUCCCCGUCAUCAUCUUCUAGCCCGCUCCUGCCUCGUCCUCGACCUACCUCGCCCGGAUCCGCCGCCGCUCUGUCCCGGAGUCCCGCGCCAAAUCUGCCGCCGGCGGUCCUUGCCGCCUUGUUCGUCAGGGAGACGACGAGCACAUGGCUCGUCAACGCUCCAGCCGUUGACCCCGCGCCAGGGGACGACUCCCCUCGCCUCUUCCUCUGGGCGCGGCCCAUCAUCACCUCUGCCGGCCUCCCCAUCGACUUGGGCCAAGUCCCAUGGGUUGGUUCCGGUAACAUCGCGUUUGUGAGGAACCGUUCGACUACGUCCGUUUGUCUUCUUCAUGGACUCAUUCUUCUUCCUUGCGAGAUUUCACGCAAGAUGACCAUACCCUCGAAAUCACUUCUAUCUUUGCUUGCUAGAUGCUCGCUCUUUUGCUAUGCCUAUGCCGCGAUACCUACCACUUGCUUAUCAUGCCUCCCAUAUUGUUAA
rnacentral:rRNA from 1 species